rnacentral:rRNA from 1 species
GGGGAAUAUUGCACAAUGGGCGAAAGCCUGAUGCAGCAACGCCGCGUGAGUGAUGACGGUCUUCGGAUUGUAAAGCACUUUAAGUUGGGAGGAAGGGCUGUAGGCUAAUAUCCUGCAGUUUUGACGUUACCAACAGAAUAAGCACCGGCUAACUUCGUGCCAGCAGCCGCGGUAAUACGAAGGGUGCAAGCGUUAAUCGGAAUUACUGGGCGUAAAGCGCGCGUAGGUGGUUUUGUAAGUUGGAUGUGAAAGCCCCGGGCUCAACCUGGGAACUGCAUCCAAAACUGCAUGACUAGAGUACGGUAGAGGGUGGUGGAAUUUCCUGUGUAGCGGUGAAAUGCGUAGAUAUAGGAAGGAACACCAGUGGCGAAGGCGACCACCUGGACUGAUACUGACACUGAGGUGCGAAAGCGUGGGGAGCAAAC